GAAAAAUUUCAUAUAUUUUUAUUUUAUAUUUUUAUAUUUUGUAUAGAUAUUACAGAAUAUAAAUUAUAAAUUAUAAAUUAUAGAGAGAGCUCGUAGAUUUUUUCCAUUGUGAAAAGGAAAAUUUCCAUGAAAGCCCCUCAAGUGAUUCUAAUUUUAUAAUCCUUACUCCUUGAAGCUACCGGUUACAAAAGUAUAACAAAACAGUGAAAAAGAUGAUCCGUUUACUGGCUUCUAAGAUCAAUUAGAUCGCCGUGUUUGAUCGUAAGAGCUGAGCAGAUUCAUUUAUAUGGAAUUUGGGAUUGGAUCUGUUGUUGUCGGUUUUGAUCAUCGUGCAAAUCUAACAAAAUGGCGGCUCCGCCUCGGCUCUAUUCCUUCUCGAC
rnacentral:lncRNA from 1 species